GGCACCCUAUAUGGUGGCACCCUAUGCCCUAUAUGGUGGCACCCUAUGCCCUAUAUGGUGGCACCCUAUGCCCUAUAUGGUGGCACCCUAUGCCCUAUAUGGUGGCGCCCUAUAUAGUGGCACCCUAUAUAGUUGCACCCUAUGCCCUAUAUAGUGGCACCCUAUUCCCUAUAUGAAAUCACCCUAUUCCCUAUAUAGUGGCACCCUAUUCCCUAUAUGAAAUCACCCUAUUCCCUAUAUAGUGGCACCCUAUUCCCUAUAUGAUGGUACCCUAUAUAGUGGCACCCUAUGCCCUAUAUAGUGGCACCCUGUUCCUUAUUUUCCCACAUUGUCUAUUCCCCUAUAAUGCCAAUAGGGUCCCAUUUGGGACGCACAGUUUGACUGGUUAAAUAUGGACGGUUUUCUUUAGUUGGUAAUUUAGGUGUCAGGGAUGCCCAUUUUCACCCUCUAACUCUGUUCUUCAAAGGGGUGAGUGUUGGUUAUAUGUUUUUCUUUUCAGAUGCUAUUGUUGUUAAUGAAUCCAAUGCUAUAAGCUUUUUCACACUGCAGUGAUCUUAGCCCCAGGCUAAGACUGACCCUGGACUAGCUUAUCCUGUCUUCACGGUUCGCACAAGCAUUUAGUGAUGACUUGUUUAAACCUCGCUGUCCGCCUGCCUGACCCCUUGGGGGGGGGGGGGGGAAUAAACUCUUUCACUUUUGAAAUGCGAUCUCGCGCCCCUGUACAGAGAAUUCUGUGCAACAGACGAGACAUCAACUUUUCUGAUCCAGGCGAAAUCAUGCAACAAUAUUUUUAUUGUCAUGGAUAGCCAUGAUCCAAGUACAUGUCUAAUAUGAAAACAGAGGAAAGAGCUUGAUGCCCUUCCAGCUGUAGAGUUUGUGGCUUCGGGUUGGCUAGCUAAGUGAGAAGAAGUUAGCCAGCUGGCAGAGCAACCAAUUGUAUGAUUAUUUUGUAUGAUUAUUUUUAUUAGCCAUAGAAACCAAAAGUUUUUUCCCAUAGAUGAAAGCAUUGUUUUUAUUUAUUUAAAUGUUUGUCCUCUGAUAGAAGGAUGAAAUAGUAUAAAUGUAUUUAUUAAAAUGGCAGAACGCAUCACAAGCGUAUGUAAGUUAAGUGAAUGUGCAGCUUUUGUGAUUGGACGGUAAAGAUUCUAUGCGUUGUUCUUGACCCGUUUUGGUCAUUGGCUAUUUUGGCACCGUGUUUCUGGGGCCCUGAAAAGUCGUCUCUAACCCUGCUCCGGAACAAGGCCCGGCUAGCCCUGGGCUAAGGUUGGUGUGAAUAUUCGCUUAGGCCUCGGCUAAAAUCUCCCAUAGCCCAGGCCUGACGAGGCUCUUAGCCCUGGGCUAAGGUUGGUGUGAAUAUUCACUUAGGCCUCGGCUAAAAUCUCCCAUAGCCCAGGCCUGACGAGGCUCUUAGCCCUGGGCUAAGGUUGGUGUGAAUAUUCGCUUAGGCCUGGGCUAAAAUCUCCCAUAGCCCAGGCCUGACGAGGCUCUUAGCCCUGGGCUAAGGUUGGUGUGAAUAUUCGCUUAGGCCUCGGCUAAAAUCUCCCAUAGCCCAGGCCUGACGAGGCUCUUAGCCCUGGGCUAAGGUUGGUGUGAAUAUUCGCUUAGGCCUCGGCUAAAAUCUCCCAUAGCCCAGGCCUGACGAGGCUCUUAGCCCUGGGCUAAGGUUGGUGUGAAUAUUCGCUUAGGCCUGGGCUAAAAUCUCCCAUAGCCCAGGCCUGACGAGGCUCUUAGCCCUGGGCUAAGGUUGGUGUGAAUAUUCGCUUAGGCCUCGGCUAAAAUCUCCCAUAGCCCAGGCCUGACGAGGCUCUUAGCCCCGAGUUAAGGUUCAAUGUGAAUGCAUCUUUUCUAUGUGAAAGUUGGAACAAAUGUGUGUUCUUUCAAUCACAAAAUCUCCUUUUGUCAUUAAAGACUCUUUUUUUUUUCUCUCAACUAUCUCAGUCAUUGUUUCUCUUAUUUUGUGCCUCGUUCUGUCUGUUUCUAUAUAUUGUUAUUCUGCCUCCUCACUGAUACAAUGUUAAAAAUAAAAAAAAAUAUUUAAAAGGCUCUUCCUAAAGUUUCCUGUACGUUUCUAGCUUUGACAUAACAAGAAGUGUUAUAAGGCAGUAUUAGUAAAGCCACAUUACUACCGGAGGUGUUUUAUAAGGCUUUGUUUAUAAUGUGUGUUCAGUACAAAAUGUAAUCCAACUCCUCAUGCCUUUUUUUAAAGGUUUGAUGCAUAUUAAAAUAUCUAUGAAUUCAUUA